rnacentral:lncRNA from 1 species
AAAAAAAAUUCAUAAAUGUUUGUUUGAGACCGAAAGCUUCUGGAUUAGUUUUUUGAUGAUGAAUUUCUCCAAAAAUUCUUUUUUGAUAAACUUUUCUCAGAUUUGACUACUAUUAUGAUUUGGACAUUAAAGUAUACAGCGGUAUUCAUCUUUGAUAGACCUAGUGCUACAGUUUAAUAGGUAAACAAAGAAUAUGCACACAGGAAUAUCCAUCCAGAACACAAAAUCAGUACAUAGACAGCAUAAAUAAACGAAACAAAGAAAGGAACAGUGCUUUUAUUGCUGUUCUUCAUCUCAUACAUAAUCAAUUUGCACAAAAUUUAUCAUUUUCACUCAAAAGUUUGAAUAAGUUUUAAAAAAAAAUUAAAUGUAUGAAAAUAUACUUUUUGUUGCUAUUGAUAUACAAGUCAUUUAUACAGACAUACAUUUUAUCAAUGAAAUUUAUCAUUAUAAGUAUAAGUUAUAAUAAGGUAAGUUUUUAGCCUGAAGGGGCCAAGUGAGCUUUUCUCAUCACUUGGCGUCCGUCGUUGUCGUCUGUAGUCUGUCGUCGUUAAUUCUUACAAAAAAUCUUCUCCUCUGAAAAUACUGGGCCAAAUUAAACCAAACUUGACCACAAUCAUCAUUGGGGUAUCUAGUUUUAAAAAUGUGUCCGGUGACCCGGCCAACCAACCAAGAUUUAUAAAGAAUGAUAAAUAAUAUAGAGUUUUAAGUUCCAUUCUUUCAUAUUUAUUAAAAAGAAAUGAUGUUUUAGAGGAGCCAACAACUGAGCAGAGAGCAGAAGAGAGAUUGAUGACCUUGAAGAGUAAGCAAUGUGAACAGUAAGACAGCUGUUAAGUAUAUCUGGGGUUACCAAAUAUUAUGGUAAGAACCUCAUCUAUAAUCAAACUUGGUGAGUAUUCUUUUUGUUGGUUAGAUAUUAUGCAUCAUUAUGAAAAAAGGGGGAUGUAGGGUAUAAAUCAACAAGGCAGCUACCCAAUGAAAAUAAAUAACCAAAGACAUCUACAGGUCUUCAACUAUAGACUGAUGUUUAUACAAUACAUGAACUUGUAAAUCAUCCAAAGUCUAAAAGAUUUGUCAUAAAGAUAAAAAAAGAUGUGAAUAAAAUGAACAGACUAACAAAUAACUUACAUACACACCAAUAUCUGACCUAAGCACAUGAGCAUGUUGCAGGGUGAAACUUUUUUUAUAUAAAGCCCACCCUUUUUGUGCAAUGCCUAACCAAACUACAAAAUUUCAUACAGAAAACUUUUCAAAUUGAAGGGUUUCAAAUUUUGAAUAAGCUAAUUUGUUCUUUUAAAAAAAAAAAAAUGCCAGAUGCAAUUAACAAACAACAAAAUAUUUGGAAAUCUUGACUCCCCCGCAAGAGAAAAAUGUCACUCUUAUUAUUGAGGAAAAUGGCCACUACCUCAAUGGUCUUUAAAAUUAAUUCAGUUGCUCUGGUCAUUUUUCAAAAUUUAACAAGUGAAUGGAGUUGUUUUGAUGAAGCUUACCUUUAAUCAAUGGGAGAUAACUGUGACCACAUGGAUCAUAAUUCUGAAAACUUAUCCUGAAAUCCUGGGCUUAAAAACUCGAAAUCCUGAGGUCCCGAAUUUAAAUAAAUUUAAAUCUCGACAUCCCGAAAUUCGAAAAAAGAAUUCCCGGAUCUUGAAAGGGUCAAUCCCGAAAUCCCGAGCUUAAAAACACCCAGGAGUCCCGAUAAAGGUCCUAUCCCCCUCAUAUCUAUAAUUGAUAACUAAGAUAAAAGAAAUACAGAAAUUGUUUACAUUAAAUUGCCUUUUGCCAUGCUUACAUCAACAAAAGAUUUUUUUUUUCAUUUUCCAAAAUAAAUUCCAAGGCUAAGAUGUAGGAUGCCAUUCUUCUAACAAAAUACCACAGCAUGGAGACCCAAAUCAGCACACUAAAAUGUCCAAUGUGUGUCCUACAUCUUGAAAUAAAUAU